CCGGGAGCGGGCGCCAUGGUGAGAAGUGGUUGUGGGGCGCGGGCGACGCGACGGUGGGGGUUUCGACCUGGGUUGGGGCCGCAGACAGAGCCCGGGCCUGGGCCUGGGCCUGCGCCUGCCCUGGGAGCGGGUUCCGGCAGACGCUGAGGUUGCGUUGACGCUCGCGCCCCGGCUCCCGUUCCAGGUGCUGUUGCACGUGCUGUUUGAGCAUGCUGUCGGCUACGCGCUGCUGGCGCUGAAGGAAGUGGAGGAGAUCAGUCUGCUGCAGCCGCAGGUGGAGGAGUCCGUGCUCAACCUGGGCAAAUUCCACAACAUCGUUCGUCUGGUGGCCUUUUGUCCCUUUGCGUCAUCCCAGGUUGCCUUGGAAAAUGCCAACGCCGUGUCUGAAGGGGUUGUUCAUGAGGACCUCCGCCUGCUCUUGGAGACGCACCUGCCGUCCAAAAAGAAGAAAGUACUCUUGGGAGUUGGGGAUCCCAAGAUUGGUGCCGCGAUACAGGAGGAGUUAGGGUACAACUGCCAGACUGGAGGCGUCAUAGCUGAGAUCCUGCGAGGAGUUCGUCUGCACUUCCACAAUCUGGUGAAGGGUCUGACCGAUCUGUCAGCUUGUAAAGCACAGCUGGGGCUGGGACACAGCUAUUCCCGUGCCAAAGUUAAGUUUAAUGUGAACCGUGUGGACAAUAUGAUCAUCCAGUCCAUUAGCCUCCUGGACCAGCUGGAUAAGGACAUCAAUACCUUCUCUAUGCGUGUCAGGGAGUGGUACGGGUAUCACUUUCCGGAGCUGGUGAAGAUCAUCAACGACAAUGCCACAUACUGCCGUCUCGCCCAGUUUAUUGGAAACCGAAGGGAACUGAAUGAGGACAAGCUGGAGAAGCUGGAGGAGCUAACAAUGGAUGGGGCCAAGGCUAAGGCUAUUCUGGAUGCCUCACGGUCCUCCAUGG
rnacentral:sRNA from 1 species